GGGCUGUAGUCGGUCCCAAGGGUUGGGCUGUUCGCCCAUUAAAGCGGUACGCGAGCUGGGUUCAGAACGUCGUGAGACAGUUCGGUCCCUAUCCGUCGCGGGCGCAGGAAAUUUGAGAGGAGCUGUCCUUAGUACGAGAGGACCGGGAUGGACGCACCGCUGGUGUACCAGUUGUUCUGCCAAGGGCAUCGCUGGGUAGCUAUGUGCGGACGGGAUAAGUGCUGAAAGCAUCUAAGCAUGAAGCCCCCUCAAGAUGAGAUUUCCCAUUCCUAUAAGGAAGUAAGAUCCCUGAAAGAUGAUCAGGUUGAUAGGUCUGAGGUGGAAGUGUGGCGACACAUGGAGCUGACAGAUA
rnacentral:rRNA from 1 species